CAUUCAGGGCCAGGCUGGAUGUGGAUCUGGGCAGCCUGGUCUGGUGGUUGGUGACCCUGCACAUAGCUGGGGGUUGGAACUCAAUGUGCAUUGUGAUCCUUUUCAACCCAGGCCAUUAUGAUCCCGUGAAUGUCUUUGACUUAUGUGCUUACAAGAGGAGCAGCAGCGUAGGCUAUUUGCUAUACAGUCAAGGAUGUCAUAUGUUAGUUCCUGAUGCACAGCACUGAGCAGGACAGAGACCUUGGUGGUACAGAGGACACAAGAAUGGCAGCACCCAGUGGCUGGAACUGUGUGGCCUUAGCAGCCAGGCCUGCUGUGAGCAGGCUUCAAGAAACAAAUACAGCAGAAAAGAUGUACUCCAGUACUGCUUGAAAAUAUGUGAGAGGAUGCUUCAAGGCCCAUACUGUUACUAAAAACAAAUAAUGUCUCAUCAGCAAGAAGAGAUGUCUUGGAGAAUAUUCUAAACUAGAAACUGACUUUCUAAACACAUUUUCCUUGUUUUACUUAUUGUCAGUUUUUUUCCAAACAAUGUGUACGUUGCUGAGAGAAUUUCUUCCCUUACGGAAACUAUUUUAUUUCUUUGGAGGUGUGAUUAGGUCAUUAGACUUCAUCACUUUUCUGGAGCUAACAUACUGCUCCUUUUUUUGUGGACAGAGUGCAGUGGUAACGGGGGUUGCUCACAGCUCAACUUGCUCCUUGUGCAGGAAGCCAUAGGGAGUGUGCUGUUAACCUUGCAGACUAGUUGUUGUAAGAGAACAUAUCACUGAGCCCCAAAAGCUUUUCUCUGGGUACUUCAGUCGAAGGUCAGCUCUGUUCUGCUUAUUGUAGCAGUGCACCAAAGAUGUGCUCUGGGCAAAGUUCUCUGUUGUGAAUGGAGUGUGCACAUAGCUUGUAUGGCAGAUGAGUUUUGUUUACAUGCUGUUUCAAUGCUUGCAGCACUUUGGACUGACUUUUCUUUUGUAGGCCCGUGGACCAGCUCUCAGCUGUGCUGGGGCUCACAGCUGACUGUGUCCCGUGUGGGUGGCAGCCGGGGUCUGUGCGCAGGGUGAGCUGUGAGUGGCUGCGUGGCUGCCUGAACGUGCCGGAAGAGCACAGGGCAUUGCCAGCUUCUUCUGAGUGGUCUGGAGCCGCUCAGGCCCUUGUGUCCUACCACAGGCAUGGUGAUGGCAGCUGUGCCUGCUCAGGGCUGUGCUGGUGAGGAAAUGCCGUGGCACAGCCACGCAAAGUGGUGAUUCAGUCUUCAAGAGCAAGUUGUUUCCAUGUUGCAAAGACUGGGUAUCUGAGUGGGAAGGAAGCCAGUUGGGUUUUUUCUUCAACUAAUGUACACAAGAACAUGAGUGUGAGAGUUAUUUUAAUGGGGUCAGAAUAACAGUGGCAAGUAUUAUGCCUAUUGAAGUAGUGUAGAUGUACAUUUUGUGCAGUUUCUUUCCUCCUCUUCUGUUUAGAAGGAAUAAAAACAGGAGAAUGGCAGAAAAAUCUGUGCAGUGAGAUUGACGAUAAUGAGGCCUUGCUGCGCAUGUGCCCCAGCAGCUCUUCUCUGAGGCCCCUGAGGAGGGACUGCUGGGUCCUUUUCAUGUUCAUUGCAUGCCCGAGUCUCACUGCCCGCCUGGCUGAGCAGCUCCGUGGCUGCGGGAGAGAGGGAAGUGCAGCUCUGCUGGCAGCUUUGUGAAUGCCCAGAAAGAGCAAGAAGCUCCUUUGUUCGUCUGAGAACAUAUUUUUGGUCCUUAGAAAUAGCUGAUGGGGGCAGGGGAGAAUUGCCACUUCAAGUGACAUCCCACCUAAAAGGGCAUUAUUUUCCAUGUUCAUAUAAUGUGCUGGUAGACUUCAUUUGCUACUUGUACCAGCAUUCAUAAGCAAUUAAUCCUUGACAAGUUUAUCAUCAUCCUGCUUUCACCCCAAGGACUCACUUUUUAUAUCUCCUCCUCCCUCAAUUUAAUGGUAAAUUUAAGUAUUUCUAUACCAGUGAGACUAUGUUAUUUCUAUUAAGCAUUCCCUGAUUUACACACAGUUCUAAAAUAAAUAGCUGCUUCUAAUCAAAUAGAAUGAGGGAACAAUUCUGUCUCUUUUUUACAUGUCUCUUUUUGAUACUGGCUGAUACAGUGUAGCCUGCCAUCCAAGGCCUCUACUAAAUUCAAAUGUAGGAGCUCGAUUGAUGUGUUAGUAGCUGUGUGUAGAAGCAAGAUGAAUUACCCUAGGAAAAACAAUCAGAGCUGCCUGCUCCAAGAUCUGGAGUCACCAGGGCAGCGGAGAAUCAUCUUCCGAAUGUUU